rnacentral:lncRNA from 1 species
AGAACCUACAUUCGAACCAAGAUGUCAGGCACUUCUGAUGCUGCUGGGCUUGGAAGCCUACUUUGGGGACCACAGCUCCUGACUACCCUAGUAUGGCUCGGUGACUGCUGAAAUGAGACAUGGAUCUUCACCCCCAGCUCUCUCCUGGCCUCUCCCUUCACCCAAGGACAGAACCACCUGCUUGUUUCAAUAUUGGACAUUGGUGGAGGGGUGAGGAAAAGAGGAGGGCAGGGAGAUCGUCCCACAUCUGAGGCUCUAGUGUUUCCUUUUGAGUCAAGCCUCCCAGGAUGUUUCUGAACUGGUCCCUGGCCACCACGUGGGGACCUGGAAGAUAGCUCCCUGCUCCUCAGUCCUGGGGGCCCAAGUUCCACAGCCCCUUGGUAGACCCUGGAGAGGAGAAAUCAACGUGAAAAAGGCUGGGAGGCAGGGGGGCCCUCCAGUCACAGUGGUUAACUGCAUCAGUAAUUCAUAGCACAAGAGAUGAGAGGUUAAGUAGCUGGCCCAGGAAGACACAGUGUGAAUUUAAAUCCAGCUGUCUGAUGCCAAAAAGGGACACGUACCCAUCCUGCUGUCCUCCCGGGAACAGUGUGAGCAGCAGACGGGAGAAUGCAUGUGCAAGGAUUAUUGGCUGCUGCAAAGUGCCCACGAAAGGUUUAUUAACAUGAAGAGCACUCAAUUCAUGCCACUUCUGGGUACUGCUUGUACCAUCACGACCCUUCUUCCAGGGCCCUGUGCCUAUGGAGGGCAGUUCCAUCAAGGACAGAGAAACACAGUUCCUUUCUCUGCCAAGAACCUGCCCGGAACCAUAAAUUCACCCUUCGUGGAGCAGAGUAUCACAUUGGAAAUGAGCGUGGCCAAGCUGACGGGCUGUGAAGCCCUCCUGCUAAGAACCACGGUUCUCUAUGCAGAUGCUGCUAAAGGAAGAUUUGGCUUCCUCCCUCGCCAUGCGUAUCCUUGGAGUCCUUAGCACGCUCUGCCCAGCGGUCUCCAGCACUAAGAGGCUGAGCUCUGCCGGGCCUGACGCACCUGAGUGGGAGGUAGGGUUCUGACAGGGAACAGGAGAGAUCAGGUUAGCACAAAACCAUCUCCGCUAGCCCUUUUGGGACCAGAGUAGGGGCUGGGAAGCCCCUCUCAUCCCUGGAAGCUGGAUGUUCUGCCCAGCACCCUGGAACCAUGGGAUAGUCCCAGGAUGCUUGACCCCCAGAGGGCUGUGAGAGAAGGAAGGGCCUCAUGCCUCACAGCCCCUUUGUCCUCAAAUUUUCCUGGUCAACAUCAGAAGGCCAUUUCCCCUGAGCCUUCAUUGAUGGACUGCGCUCUGAGUUACUCAUUCCAUCUGCCAGGAGCCCCACCCCACCCUCUCCCUGGCCACUCCAUUGCCCCAUCUCCUCUCGUCUGUUGAAACUGACCCAGCAGCCCCACAUGCUGCUGUCCUCAACUGGGCACAAUGCAGAAGGGCUCCUUCUCUCCUACCAAAGGGUGGGGGCAGGGGGAAGCCUUCUGGACCAGAAGCUAUGAAGCCAGGCACAGGCUGUGUGCCCUGGGCCAGUCACCUAACCUCUCUGAGAAGAGUCCCUAUCUGGGAGACGAGAGGGGGUGGUGAGUUAAAUCCACAGUUUUCUGUACCUUGAGGCCCAGCAUUGUGAGGUGCCCCAGGGGGGCUGGUUACCAAGGGAGGGCAGAGGAGGCAGGGCCCCGGACCCCGCGGAAAUAAAAGCGCCUCUGCAUUGAGCAAUUUCACCUAUUAUGGUUCUGUGCUAGACUGCAUCUGAGUGAAGGGAUUUUCUGGGGAAAAACAUUAGAAAUCCCCUGAGUAAAAGUCCAUAGGCCCAUGUUAGCUUUUUUUUGUUUUGUUUUGUUUUGUUUUGUUUUUUGAGAAAGAGUCUCACUCUGUUGCCCAGGCUGGAGUACAGUGGCGUGAUCUCAGCUCACUGCAAUUUCUGCCUCCCAGGUUCAAGUGAUUCUUGUGCCUCAGCCUCCCUAGUAGCUGGGAUUACAGGCGUGUGUCAUCAUACCCGGCUAAUUUUUGUAUUUUUAGUACAGACAGGGUUUCACCAUGUUGGCCAGGCUGGUCUCAAACUUCUGACCUCAAGUGAUCCACCUGCCUCAGCCUCCCAAAGUGCUAGGAUUUACAGGAGUGAGCCACCUCGCCCGGCCCCAUGUUAGCUUUUUAAAAAAUGCUUUGUUUCAUGACAAUAACUAUGACAUCCUGUGGCACAGUUUGGCCUAAGAUCCAGAAGUGUCUGAACCUCAAUACCUUAGGAAGCCCUGGGGCUGCUGGUCCCUCCCCGCGGGCUGCUCUCCUCUCCUUCGCCUCAGGUUUUCACCAGCCCCGAAUGCUGGGGCUGGGUCUUCCGUGUCCCCCCUCCCAUGCCAAAGAGGACAUCCACCCAGCAACCUCUUUCACCUCCUGGGCGGGUUUCCCAGCCACGGGCAUUCUCCCAGGUACCAAUAAUCCUGCAUAUUAGGGUAUUAGGCAGAUUACCCAAAGCAGCUCAAGCAAAUCAAGCAUAGCAUGGGCACCACCAGCUGGGGUUUUCAUGGCAAGAGUUCUGCAAAGGGAAUGGAUGGAGGAGGUGGUUACUCUGAGACUCAAGGACCAGAGAAAUAGGGCAACAGGGGACCCAGGUCUUUCCUAGAGCUGGUGUCAGGAGUGGCAGAGUUCACUUCUGCCCCUGGGAAGUUGCAUAGUCCAACCUCUCCCUGGCUGCCAUCACUUCUCCUGCUCUGCACCCCGGAGACUCUGCACCAGCAGGGCUUAAGACAUUUGCACUGAUUAAUUCACCUAGCAGUUACUGUGUUUGCUAACUGUGGGCUGUACCUUUAGGGAAGGGACACACUGUCCACAGAUUCAGGCAACAGGAACUUAUAAAGAAGCUGGGACCUAACCGAUUACCCCGAGCUGUCAGAAAGCCCUGUGAGUUUACUGGGUGUCUCGGCUGGACCUACAGUGCUCCACCAUUGAGGCAUUUUUAGCCAUUGCUUUCUGGGUGCCCUGUCCAGAUUCUCACUCUUAGAAGCACCCCUGCGCUGGGUGUGAACAACUACUCUUUGGAAGUCUUCAUGGUAGAAAAAGGCCAGGUGACCUUUAACAAGUCCUUACCAUCUUGUGCCUCAGGUUUCUUUGUCUCAAAUGCAGGGAGCCAUGUAAACACUCCCCAAGGUCUGUCCAGCUCUAAACUGUCUGACCCGGAGGCCUGGAUUGUUAAGUCCCUUACUUUGCACGCACUGUCUCAGCUCUGUAACCCUGGGCAAGUCAAUCAAGCAUCAUUUCCCUCCCCCGGGAAAUGCUGCAGGACAGAUUCCUUUUCAGCUCUUCUCAGAGCCAGGUUCAAAGCUGCUCUCCCAUUCCCUGAGGACCAAGGGGGUCAACUGGUGCUCAGGAGAUCACUGAUCCCCUCUUACAUCUACUGUGUUCUGUCCUUGGUGAUUUUACACCAACUUAAUCUUCACAAGAAGCCUGCAAGAUAGGAAUGUUUUUUCUUUUUUUCUUUUUUCUUUUUCUUUUGAGACAGAGUCUCACUCUGUCGCCCAGGAUGGAGUGCAGUGAUGCAAUCUCAGCUCACUGCAGCCUCCGCCUCCCAGGUUCAAACGAUUCUCCUCCUCAGCCUCCCAGGUAGCUGGGAUUACAGGCACCCACCACCAUGCUCCAGUAAUUUUUUUUUUCCUAGUAAGAUGGGGUUUCAACAUGUUGGAUAGGCUGGUCUGGAACUCCUGACCUCAAGUGAUCUGCCCGCCUCAGCCUCCCAAAGUGCUGGGAUUACAGGCGUGAGCCACCACGCCUGGCUGCAAGGUAGGAAUGUCAUGAGGCUCAGAGAGAUUGGGUAAUUUUCCAAGAUUACCCAUCUUGUAAGUGGCAGAGCUGAAAUUUCAAUCUAGUCCAUUCUAACUCUGAAGGCCAUAUUUUUUCUCUCUAUUCCACACUGUCUUGGGAUAGGUCCAAUGUGCAAGAACAGAGAUGGAAUCUCCAUAUAAAAUUCUGUUUACUACUACUACUGAAACAACCAUCUCACAACCUAUGGCUUCUAAGUAACAAAAUCCUGUAGUACAGACAUCUAAAUUCAGUUAUAAUCCACUAUGUACGGACAGAGAGUUGGAGAAAUGGGCUAGGGGACGGGGAUCCAACCUGGGAAUACAAUGCUCAUUAGACAUUAGAUAUGUUCUCAAAUGGCCACAUAUGCUGCCUAAAAUUAGUAAGGCAACCUCCAAACUUUCAGGGCUAAUACAUACAUCCUGGCCAAUGUGCCGUAUUUGUAAAAUAACAAUCUCCUUCUCUUUCAAUUAGCUUAAUAAAAUUGGAAAAUAUAAGUGACAGUCCAGAGUCCACUAUCAGAGCCAUAGAGACUUUGAAUUGGAUUAGUAGAGUCCUCAGCCAGGAUGACCCUGGCAGGGUCCAAGACAGCCUGCUGUCCAUCAGAGACUCGGAGACUCAGCUGCCAGUCUGCAGGGCAGCCCAUCCUGCCCCAGAAGCUCAGCUCAAGACCUGCCCAGACAAGAAAACUGUGGCAGGGGCCCAGCAGGAAGGCAAAAAUUACAUUUGUUUCUCAUCAGGGCAGACUGGGAUAUGGAUAACCAAACACACAGGAAAUCCCAAACCCUCAUGUUCAUAAAAGAAUGCAGAAAUCUUCGUGCCAAGUUAACUUUUACCGGAGGGAGCCCAUUGCCAUCCUGUAGACCAGGAGGAGGAUCCAGCCCCCAAGGAGCCUCACUCUCCUCAGCAAAGGCUCCUGCAGGUAGCUCACAGGUGCUCUGUUCCCAUGGGUCCUGCAUGGCCACAGGGCAGUGCUGCCCCUGAUGUGGUACGGAAUGAAAAGCCUCAGUACAGCGCACUGUGUGUGUCAGUGGAAGACAACUGAUGAAGGGCCUCUCCCAGGAAGAACUGUCCUUUUCUUUGACAUUAUAUCGUUACUCCUUUGUUGGGUAUUAACAUGUCCUUUUAAUGAAAUGACAAUGGUG